UACGUAGGGUGCAAGCGUUGUCCGGAAUUAUUGGGCGUAAAGAGCUCGUAGGCGGUCUGUCGCGUUUGCUGUGAAAACUCGGGGCUUAACCCCGGGCCUGCAGUGGGUACGGGCAGACGUAGAGUGCGGUAGGGGAGACUGGAAUUCCUGGUGUAGCGGUGAAAUGCGCAGAUAUCAGGAGGAACACCGGUGGCGAAGGCGGGUCUCUGGGCCGUAACUGACGCUGAGGAGCGAAAGCGUGGGGAGCGAACAGG
rnacentral:rRNA from 1 species